rnacentral:tRNA from 1 species
GGAGAGGUGCCCGGAGUGGCUUAUCGGGGACCACGAGACGGUCGGGCCCCUCGGGGCCCGCGCAGGUUCGAAUCCUGCCCUCUCCG